rnacentral:tRNA from 1 species
GCUGCGGCUGGGGCGGCGGGGGCGGCGCGUACCGCUGCGGCUGGUGCUGGGGCGGUGCGGCGUACUGCUGCUGGUUCGGGUACGGCUGGGGCG